CAUUGUCGAAUGCUUCCUUACUUGUGUGAGUUCUCACGUUCAAAGUUAUGUAACAAAAAAAAACGAAGACAAUUUUUCAGUGGCAUUGAAAUACUGAUAAGAACAAAAUUGCCCAAGAUUUACUUUACCACAAAAUGUUUAACAUCAAGUUGUUCUUAUUGUUAAUUUUGGCCGUGGCUCUGUUUGCUGCCAAAGCGUACGCUUGCAUUGCAGACGGCGAUCCUUGCGAAGAAGACAAGUUAUGUUGCAGCGAAGCUUGUUACAAUGAUGCUACUAUGACAGUGCCGCAUUUUUGUGGUAAAACUUUCAAAUAGAUUCCGAUAAUUAUUUAUUCUCCGAUCAUCAUUUUAACACA